rnacentral:misc_RNA from 1 species
CGCAGCCGCGGUAAUUCCAGCUCCAAUAGCGUAUAUUAAAGUUGUUGCAGUUAAAAAGCUCGUAGUUGAAUUUCGGGAUCAAUAUGUUGGUCGUGCCUCGGUACGUACUAGCUUAUUGGUUUCUCCUUUCUGAAGAACCAUGAUGUCAUUUAUUUGGUGUCGUGGGGAAUCAGGACUGUUACUUUGAAAAAAUUAGAGUGUUUAAAGCAGGCUCACGCUUGAAUACAUUAGCAUGGAAUAAUGAAAUAGGACGUUUGAUUCUAUUUUGUUGGUUUCUAGGAUCGACGUAAUGAUUAAUAGGGAUAGUUGGGGGCAUUAGUAUUCAAUUGUCAGAGGUGAAAUUCUUGGAUUUAUUGAAGACUAACUACUGCGAAAGCAUUUGCCAAGGAUGUUUUCAUUAAUCAAGAACGAAAGUUAGGGGAUCGAAGACGAUCAGAUACCGUCGUAGUCUUAACCAUAAACUAUGCCGACUAGGGAUCGGAUGAUGUUAAUUUUUU